CCCUUAGACGUUCUGGGCCGCACGCGCGCUACACUGACCAGUGCAACAAGCAUCCGUCCUUGGCCGACAGGCCCGGGCAAUCUUUGAACGCUGGUCGUGAUGGGGAUAGACUUUUGCAAUUUUUGGUCUUCAACGAGGAAUUCCUAGUAAACGCAAGUCAUCAGCUUGCAUUGAUUACGUCCCUGCCCUUUGUACACACCGCCCGUCGCACCUACCGAUUGAAUGGUCCGGUGAAAUCUCGGGACGGCGGCUUGGUCGCUUGCGUCCGACUGCUGAAACUUGAUUAAACCAUAUCAUUUAGAGGAAGGUGAANUCGUAACA
rnacentral:rRNA from 1 species